ACUACAUCCACUACACAAACACACACUCUGCAUUCACUAUACACACACUGCAUCCACUACACAAACAUGCACUCUGCAUUCACUAUACACACACACAUCCACUACACAAACACACUCUGCAUUCACUAUACACACACUACAUCCACUACACAAACACGCACUCUGCAUUCACUAUACACACACUACAUCCACUACACAAACACGCACUCUGCAUUCACUAUACACACACUACAUCCACUACACAAACACGCACUCUGCAUUCACUAUACACACACUACAUCCACUACACAAACACGCACUCUGCAUUCACUAUACACACACUAGAUCCACUACACAAACACACACUCUGCAUUCACUAUACACA